rnacentral:rRNA from 1 species
AUACGAAGGGGGCUAGCGUUGUUCGGAUUUACUGGGCGUAAAGCAAACGUAGGCGGAUUGCUUAGUUAGGGGUGAAAUCCCGAGGCUAAACCUCGGAACUGCCUCUAAAACUGUCAAUCUCGAGACAGGAAGAGGUGAGUGGAACUCCUAGUGUAGAGGUGGAAUUCGUAGAUAUUAGGAAGAACACCAGUGGCGAAGGCGGCUCACUGGUCCGGUACUGACGCUGAGGUGCGAAAGCGUGGGGAGCGAACAGGAUUAGAAACCCUAGUAGUCC